rnacentral:rRNA from 1 species
UACGUAGGGUGCAAGCGUUGUCCGGAAUUAUUGGGCGUAAAGAGCUCGUAGGCGGUUUGUUGCGUCGGCUGUGAAAUCCCGAGGCUCAACCUCGGGUCUGCAGUCGAUACGAGCAAACUAGAGUGUUGCAGGGGAGACUGGAAUUCCUGGUGUAGCGGUGAAAUGCGCAGAUAUCAGGAGGAACACCGGUGGCGAAGGCGAGUCUCUGGACGACUCCUGACACUGAGGCACGAAAGCUAGGGGAGCAAACAGG